rnacentral:rRNA from 1 species
CACGUAGGGGGCAAGCGUUGUCCGGAUUUAUUGGGCGUAAAGAGCUCGUAGGCGGCUUAGUAAGUCGGGUGUGAAACCUCCAGGCUCAACCUGGAGACGCCACCCGAUACUGCUGUGGCUAGAGUCCGGUAGGGGAGCGUGGAAUUCCUGGUGUAGCGGUGAAAUGCGCAGAUAUCAGGAGGAACACCGAUGGCGAAGGCAGAUCUCCUGGGCCGUAACUGACGCUGAGGAGCGAAAGCGUGGGGAGCGAACAGG